UGGCUCAGGACGAACGCUGGCGGCGUGCCUAAUACAUGCAAGUCGAACGAACUCUGGUAUUGAUUGGUGCUUGCAUCAUGAUUUACAUUUGAGUGAGUGGCGAACUGGUGAGUAACACGUGGGAAACCUGCCCAGAAGCGGGGGAUAACACCUGGAAACAGAUGCUAAUACCGCAUAACAACUUGGACCGCAUGGUCCGAGUUUGAAAGAUGGCUUCGGCUAUCACUUUUGGAUGGUCCCGCGGCGUAUUAGCUAGAUGGUGGGGUAACGGCUCACCAUGGCAAUGAUACGUAGCCGACCUGAGAGGGUAAUCGGCCACAUUGGGACUGAGACACGGCCCAAACUCCUACGGGAGGCAGCAGUAGGGAAUCUUCCACAAUGGACGAAAGUCUGAUGGAGCAACGCCGCGUGAGUGAAGAAGGGUUUCGGCUCGUAAAACUCUGUUGUUAAAGAAGAACAUAUCUGAGAGUAACUGUUCAGGUAUUGACGGUAUUUAACCAGAAAGCCACGGCUAACUACGUGCCAGCAGCCGCGGUAAUACGUAGGUGGCAAGCGUUGUCCGGAUUUAUUGGGCGUAAAGCGAGCGCAGGCGGUUUUUUAAGUCUGAUGUGAAAGCCUUCGGCUCAACCGAAGAAGUGCAUCGGAAACUGGGAAACUUGAGAGCAUAAGA
rnacentral:rRNA from 2 species